GACGAACGCUGGCGGCGUGCUUAACACAUGCAAGUCGAACGGAAAGGCCCUGCUUUUGUGGGUUGCUCGAGUGGCGAACGGGUGAGUAACACGUGAGUAACCUGCCCUUGACUUUGGGAUAACUUCAGGAAACUGGGGCUAUUACCGGAUAGGAGCUCCUGCUGCAUGGUGGUGGUUGGAAAGUUUCGGCGGUUGGGGAUCGACUCGCGGCUUAUCAGCUUGUUGGUGGGGUAGUGGCUUACCAAGGCUUUGACGGGUAGCCGGCCUGAGAGGGUGACCGGCCACAUGGGGACUGAGAUACGGCCCAGACUCCUACGGGAGGCAGCAGUGGGGAAUAUUGCACAAUGGGCGGAAGCCUGAUGCAGCAACGCCGCGUGCGGGAUGACGGCCUUCGGGUUGUAAACCGCUGUCGCCGGUGACGAAGCGUGAGUGACGGUAAUGGGUAAAGAAGCACCGGCUAACUACGUG
rnacentral:rRNA from 1 species